rnacentral:rRNA from 1 species
UCUUCCCUCUGUCGGCGUGCCUAAUACAUGCAAGUCGAGCGAACGGACGAGAAGCUUGCUUCUCUGAUGUUAGCGGCGGACGGGUGAGUAACACGUGGAUAACCUACCUAUAAGACUGGGAUAACUUCGGGAAACCGGAGCUAAUACCGGAUAAUAUUUUGAACCGCAUGGUUCAAAAGUGAAAGACGGUCUUGCUGUCACUUAUAGAUGGAUCCGCGCUGCAUUAGCUAGUUGGUACGGUAACGGCUUACCAAGGCAACGAUGCAUAGCCGACCUGAGAGGGUGAUCGGCCACACUGGAACGGAGACGCGGUCCAGACGCCUACGGGAGGCAGCAGUAGGGAAUCUUCCGCAAUGGGCGAAAGCCUGACGGAGCAACGCCGCGUGAGUUAUGAAGGUCUUCGGCUCGUAAAACUCUGUUAUUAGGGAAGAACAUAUGUGUAAGUAACUGUGCACAUCUUGACGGUACCUAAUCAGAAAGCCACGGCUAACUACGUG